AAGGAAUAUUGGGCAAUGGACGCAAGUCUGACCCAGCCAUGCCGCGUGAAGGAAGACGGCCCUAUGGGUUGUAAACUUCUUUUCUCAGGGGGUAAACUUCGGAACGAGUUCCGGACUGAAAGUACCUGAGGAAUAAGCAUCGGCUAACUCCGUGCCAGCAGCCGCGGUAAUACGGAGGAUGCGAGCGUUAUCCGGAUUCAUUGGGUUUAAAGGGUGCGCAGGCGGAUAUAUAAGUCGGAGGUGAAAUUCUGAGGCUCAACAUCAGCCGUGCCUUCGAUACUGUAUAUCUAGAGUCAAGUUGGAGUAGGCGGAAUGUGUUGUGCAGCGGUGAAAUGCUUAGAUAUAACACAGAACACCGAUCGCGAAGGCAGCUUACUAAACUUUGACUGACGCUCAUGCACGAAAGCGUGGGGAUCAAAC
rnacentral:rRNA from 1 species